AGGACAGAAUAACGGGCUCCCAGAUUCACAAGCCCCACCAAGAGGAUCACCCCAGGAACGCUUGGAGGCUGAGGAGUUCACUGAGGCUACUGCAUCUUGAGACUCAGGAUGAAGACCCAGCUUGGGGCUGUCAAAGAGGCCUGAAGAGGCAGAACACCCCAGAGGAGCCUGGGGCCACCACCCAGCGUCACUGUGGGAAAACGGCAGCGGGAAAUGUCCUCUCGCCUGCGUGCUCCACCUCAGUCCAUGCCUUCCCUCCUUCUGGAAGCCUUGCCUGACCACUGGCCUGCCCCUUCUAUGGGAAUCACUACUGACCUUGCAGCUUAUUAUAGACUUAUAUGUAUGCAGAAAUAUAAUUUUAAUUACUUUUAUAUUGCUCUGAGAGUGAUGCCAAAUCAUGAUAGAAAAUUUAAAUAAACAAAAUAGCCAAAUUAAUACCAGUAAUCACCCCAGUCAAAUAUACCCAGCUCACAUUUUGAUGUAAAAUCUUCCAGUACAGUUUCUAUGUACAUAUAUAUAUUUUUAGGAAGGAGAUUAUAUUCUACAUGCUGUUUUCUAAAACGUCCUUUUAAAACUGUAUCAUAAACAUCUUUCCUUAUAAUUCAAUAGUCUUCUACAACAAACUUUGCUAACGAAUUUUUUUUUUUAUCAUGG
rnacentral:lncRNA from 1 species